UACGUAGGGUGCGAGCGUUAAUCGGAAUUACUGGGCGUAAAGCGUGCGCAGGCGGUUUGUUAUGUCCGAUGUGAAAGCCCCGAGCUUAACUUGGGAAUGGCAUUGGAAACUGGCGGGCUGGAGUGCGGCAGAGGGGGGUGGAAUUCCACGUGUAGCAGUGAAAUGCGUAGAGAUGUGGAGGAACACCGAUGGCGAAGGCGGCAUCCUGGACCGACACUGACGCUGAGGCGCGAAAGCUAGGGUAGCAAACGGG
rnacentral:rRNA from 1 species